ensembl:lncRNA
GAUGGGGAGAGAGGGAGAGAGAGAGAUGGAUGGGAGAGAGAGAGAGAUGGAUGGGAGGGAGAGAGAGAGAGAGAUGGAUGGGAGGGAGAGAGAGAGAGAGAGAUGGAUGGGAGGGAGAGAGAGAGAGAUGGAUGGAGAGAGAGAGAGAUGGAUGGGAGGGAGAGAGAGAGAGAUGGAUGGAGGGAGAGAGAGAGAUGGAUGGGAGAGAGAGAGAGAUGGAUGGGAGAGAGAGAGAGAGAUGGAUGGGAGGGAGAGAGAUGGAUGGGAGAGGGAGAGAGAUGGAUGGGAGAGAGAGAGAUGGAUGGGAGAGGAGAGAGAGAGAGAUGGAUGGGAGAGAGAGAGAGAGAUGGAUGGAGGGAGAGAGAGAGAUGGAUGGGAGGGAGAGAGAUGGAUGGAGAGGGAGAGAGAUGGAUGGAGAUGGGAGAGAGAGAUGGAUGGGAGGGAGAGAGAGAGAUGGAUGGA